CCUACGGGAGGCAGCAGUAGGGUAUCUUUCACAAUGGGCGAAAGCCUGAUGGAGCAACGCCGCGUGCAGGAUGAAGGCCUUCGGGUUGUAAACUGCUUUUAUAAGCGAGAAAUAUGAUGGUAACUUAUGAAUAAGGAUCGGCUAACUACGUGCCAGCAGCCGCGGUCAUACGUAGGAUCCGAGCAUUAUCCGGAGUGACUGGGUGUAAAGAGUUGCGUAGGUGGCAUAAUAAGUAGCUAGUGAAAUCUGGUGGCUCAACCAUUCAGACUAUUGGCUAAACUGUUAAGCUCGAGACCGUUAGGGGUAACUGGAAUUUCUAGUGUAGGAGUGAAAUCCGUAGAUAUUAGAAGGAACACCAAUAGCGUAGGCAGGUUGCUGGGACGGUUCUGACACUAAGGCACGAAAGCGUAGGGAGCAAACGGGAUUAGAUACCCCGGUAGUC
rnacentral:rRNA from 1 species